AUCCAGUUGAUGGGUCCCAAAGAGGACGAAACGCGCGUCCUCGAU
rnacentral:hammerhead_ribozyme from 1 species